rnacentral:rRNA from 1 species
GACGAACGCUGGCGGCGUGCCUAAUACAUGCAAGUAGAACGCACAGUUUAUACCGUAGCUUGCUACACCAUAGACUGUGAGUUGCGAACGGGUGAGUAACGCGUAGGUAACCUGCCUGGUAGCGGGGGAUAACUAUUGGAAACGAUAGCUAAUACCGCAUAAUAUUAAUUAUUGCAUGAUAAUUGAUUGAAAGAUGCAACUGCAUCACUACCAGAUGGACCUGCGUUGUAUUAGCUAGUAGGUGAGGUAACGGCUCACCUAGGCGACGAUACAUAGCCGACCUGAGAGGGUGAUCGGCCACACUGGGACUGAGACACGGCCCAGACUCCUACGGGAGGCAGCAGUAGGGAAUCUUCGGCAAUGGACGAAAGUCUGACCGAGCAACGCCGCGUGAGUGAAGAAGGUUUUCGGAUCGGAAAGCUCUGUUGUAAGAGAAGAACGGGUGUGAGAGUGGAAAGUUCACACUGUGACGGUAUCUUACCAGAAAGGGACGGCUAACUACGUG